rnacentral:rRNA from 1 species
CCCUCAGAUGUUCUGGGCUGCACGCGUGCUACACUGAAGUACUAUAGAAAGUUUUCCGAUCUUGAAGAAGAGAGGUAAUCUUGAAUAUACUUCGUGAUGGGGAUAGAUCAUUGCAAUUUUUGGUCUUCAACGAGGAAUUCCUAGUAAGCACAAGUCAUUAACUUGUGCUGAUUACGUCACUGCUUUUUGUACACACCGCCCGUCGCUCCUACCGAUUGAGUAUUCCGGCGAGUCGUUCGGAUAGAGUCUUCAAAUUUAUUUGUUGAUUUUAGAAGUCUUGCAAGCCAUAAUACUUAGAGGAAGGAGAAGUCGUAACA